GGAACCCCGCUGAGAAAGAUUUAGCAAAUCACUCAUAGCGAGUCUUGGACAUCAUCGGGUAACCUAUGAUGUUAAGCGUAGACAGCAAGUUAGUAGGCCGAAAGCGAAAGUUGAAGGGAUUGAGCCUCGAAAUCCCCAUUGGGAAGGUUAAUACUGUGAACCGAGUAGAAAACAACAUCAAUAUAUUCGCUAAGCGAGAAUAUAUUGGCUUCCCCGGGGUCAGUGACCU
rfam:Alkaliphilus metalliredigens QYMF, complete genome.